GCCACUGCAGUGACAGGGCUGGAUCCUUAAUCUGCUGAACCACUAGGAAACUCUUCACUCUGUGCUUUUCUGAGUCAAAUUUCAGCCUAUUCCUCAAAAUAGUAGGAGAUGGCUCAACCUGAACGCUCGCUCGAGUGCUGUAGGCCAUUUGUGGAUUUGGCAUGAAGGUCUUCUCAGGAGAUCCUGGCUUCCCACAAGCAUUAUUGUUUAGGUCACAAGCCUCUCUGCUGUGUCUGCUUGCUGCUGUCACAAGCAAUUCAUUUCCCAACCUAUUAGGGUAUAAGAGGUCCCAUCCCUGAAGACCAGUGGCUCAAUGUUUAAUGAAAAAGGGGAGAAAGGGAAAGGGGCAUCUAGUUCUAGUGCCCCACACACACCAAAAACCCUGAAGAAAAAUCCAGUUAAUUUUAGAGAUGCAAAGCCCUUAAUCCAUGCGCCUGGGCUCUCAUAAAACUGGUCCUCAUCAACGUGCAAAAAGUCUCAUGCUCAAAACCAAAAUGUAAAAGAUAAAGCUGAUACCACCAUUGCUUUCCUAGAUAUAGACCCCCAGCCCUCUAAGGUUGAUUGCGACAACCUAGAGAAGGAAGAUUGUGUUCACAGGCCCCUCAGGACCAUCAGGAACUUAUUAGAGCUGGCCCCCAUUGUCGUUUAUGACAAAUGAUCUGUAAACACCGAUUGACUGCAGCUUACAUUCACUGGAGAGAUUGUCUUGAAGAUACAGCUUAAACUGUAAAAUAAAAACAUUCCAGUAACAGCUGAAAAUGCCCAUUUCAAUUAUAGACAGUUUAAUUAUUGAUAUUGUUGUAGGCAACCAAAAUUCACACAUGUUGUUUAUUAAAACAUAAACCUUGGUGUC